GACGAACGCUGGCGGCGUGCCUAAUACAUGCAAGUCGAACGCAUUUUCUUUCACCGUAGCUUGCUACACCGAAAGAAAAUGAGUGGCGAACGGGUGAGUAACACGUGGGUAACCUGCCCAUCAGCGGGGGAUAACACUUGGAAACAGGUGCUAAUACCGCAUAAUUCCAUUUACCGCAUGGUAAAUGGAUGAAAGGCGCUUUUGCGUCACUGAUGGAUGGUCCCGCGGUGCAUUAGCUAGUUGGUGGGGUAACGGCCUACCAAGGCUGCGAUGCAUAGCCGACCUGAGAGGGUGAUCGGCCACACUGGGACUGAGACACGGCCCAGACUCCUACGGGAGGCAGCAGUAGGGAAUCUUCGGCAAUGGACGCAAGUCUGACCGAGCAACGCCGCGUGAGUGAAGAAGGGUUUCGGAUCGUAAAACUCUGUUGUUAGAGAAGAACAAGGAUGAGAGUGGAAAGUUCAUCCCUUGACGGUAUCUAACCAGAAAGCCACGGCUAACUACGUG
rnacentral:rRNA from 1 species